rnacentral:rRNA from 1 species
GACAGAGGUUGCAAGCGUUGUUCGGAAUUACUAGGCGUAAAGGGCAGGUAGGUGGUUUGAUAAGUCUGUUGUGAAAGCUCCCGGCUUAACUGGGAGAGGUCAACAGAAACUAUCAGGCUUGAGUAUGGGAGAGGGUACUGGAAUUCCCGGUGUAGCGGUGAAAUGCGCAGAGAUCGGGAGGAACACCAAUGGCGAAAGCAGGUACCUGGACCAUUACUGACACUCAACUGCGAAAGCUAGGGGAGCAAACAGG